CCGCGUUCGUCUGUCUGCCUUUGUGCGGAUCUUUUCCGUUGUAAGGCUACGGCUCCACUGCACAUCGUACACCUCGCCAGCAUUUUCGUGAACGGGUAGGAGGUAGGAAACUUUUCAAGAUUACCACAUACACGCGCGUGAGUGACGUGACGUGAGGCGGCUCCUCUCGUUUGCUCCACGACCUCUCUCCCCCUCCCCACCUCGCGCGCGCCCGUGCCUGUGGCUGUGCCUUCCCGACCUUUCUCUGCCCUUAGUGCGAGCGUUUGCACAUAAACGCGUUGCCUCUGCGUGCAUCGGCUCCAUCGCUUAUUUUUGUUUUGCCCGCCGGCUCCGUCUUCAUUGCUUGGCUUGCUUUUUCGUUCGCUGCUCUGGUGUUCUUGUGCUACCAGCUGGUGGUGAGGCAGAGCAGCAAGACCGGAAACGAUUUCCAUCUCUACCCCACUGCCCAUUCUCCUCCUCUCCCCCUCCUCAAACACACACACUCAUCUCUGCCGCCCUACUUCCCUCUCCAUACCCGCAGCACGCGGCGUGUGGCGUAGUGUGCGCACGUCUCUCUGUAUGUGUGUGCACAGACACGCAUAUAUACAUGUAUUCGCGCAUGCAGGUGGUGAUUUUAGCCAGCCCGAAAAGCGGAAAAUAAGAGAAAGGGUAAGGACAGAGACCCACCACGUACAGACACCUCCUCCCCCCCCCCCCUCACACACACACACACCCCGAUAUUCCAGCGGCACAGACACCAGAAACGCGACACAACUUUUUUUUUUAUUGCUGCUGUACGUGUUUGCGCGUUUUGUUUUGUUGUUGUUUUUACCAUCAUUACUAUUAUUUUGCCCGUGUAGUGUCGGUGGUGUGUCUGCUUUUGCGUGCGUGCGUAUGUGUGCGUGUGUGCGUGCUCGACAGAGCCUUCGGUACCGUGUUUUGAACCAUAUCUUUUUUUGUUCUCUCUCUCUCUCCCUCCCCCUCCGUUUUAUAUCUUCCGCUUGUCUGCCUUCCCUCGUUUUGCUUUGUUGCUGGCCCCUUCCUCUCUCUCUGAGUGAGCGUGUAUCGCGCGUACGUGUCCUAUCCCUUCUGCCCUCCCCUUCCCCCUCCCCCUUUUUCAGUUGUUGCCUCUCUGUCCUUCGUUCUCUCCCUUGGUUCUUCCCUCCUUCCCUCAACACACGCACACACGCACAUAUACUCGCCAACGGAAGCGGAUCGCGAGUGUGUGUGCGUGACGCGCGUGAACGCGGCGCACAGACACCCAUAGAAACCAAGAGAGAAACAGGCAUACAAUGUACAGCCUCGAACGAAGACGGCAGGCACCAGACUCGGACAGCGACGUCACCUCCACGGCGGCGGAGUACAGCUCGGGUAGUGUCCCACCCACGGGCUCAUCGGUUCACGCUGGCGACACGCAGCAGGUGCCAGGUCUGCGCCUCAUCGACGGCAAGAGCGGAGGCGGAUGGGCGCUUGGUCCCUCUUACCCCUACCUACCCUCGCAAGAGGAGCAGGUGCGCACAAAGGCGAAUGUAAACCAGACGUUGACAGGCGAGCAGCGGAGCAGUUCAGCGGGGCUGCCAAGUGGCAGCGGUCAACGCCACCCAAACACCGCUGCUUUCGCCGAAGCAGGCAACGAUGGGACAUCAUCGGGCGAAGUUGCCCCGUCUUUGAUGUACAUCAGCCCCUCACAGGAUAUGCUGGAGGACGACGACAACACUUUUGUGGACCAUGGCAGCACUACCGCGGCGUCGAACGCGAACGCUGGUGGGCCAUCGCCAGGGGCCGCCGCCGCCGCCGCUGCUGUGUCGGCAUCGCUCACAAAGAAGACGACAUCCAAACCUCGCGCGGCGAUCGUCGCGCAGGUGGGGUCACCGACGCCGUAUGCAUCCACUACAGCCGGUGCAUCACCCUCCGGCACUGCAGCGCACACCAACGGGAGAGGCGCAGUAUCCAACAGCGCAGGCGGCGACCGAGUGCGAGGCGGCCUCUCUUUGUCCCCGUCGUUGGCGCUGCUGUCGGGCGGAGCAGCAGCAGCCACUUCGUCCUCUCCCAUGCAUGCGAGCGCCGUGGGUGGCGGCGUUCCAGGCAGCAGUCCGCCGCCGCCGCCUUUGCCUACGCCACCGCAGCGUUCGUCUGUGGGCCCUAGUGCGUAUACGAACAGCGGCAUGAGUGCCGCACGCCGGAGCAACGGGGCAGGCGCCAACACCAGCAUAGGCGGCGGCAACGCAGAUGUGCUAGGCGGCGGCGCAACCCCGCAGUACUCGCGCAUGAACUCCAACGAGGCCGUCCCUGGAGUGGUCUACCGAGCAACGGUGCCGAGCAACAUCAGGGCAAUGGCCGUGGACCCGGUCGAACCAGUAGUGUGGACCGCCGUCGGCGACGAUCCGCUCGCCGCGUUGCGCCUCAGCGGACGCGAGCUGACGCACUCGAAGUCCGUGAAAGACAUUGAUCAGGUGCACUGCAUGGCGGUAGUGCGGAUCGCUGAGGAGCAGGCGACCACCUUUAAGUCCGCCUCGACGUCACCUCGAGCGGCGGGCACGACGCCGAAGGCCGCAAAGGCGGGGAAGCGGAAGAAAGGCGGUCGCAGCAGCUCUGGCGUCCGCAAGUCUGGGAAGCAGCGCGCUGGCAGUAACGGCGUUUUUCUGGGUCGCAGUCUCGCCAGUGGCCUUGGUGGCGAGGAUGACGUGGGAAAUCACGGGAACAGCGACGAUGACGGCUACGGCGACGACGUGAUGACCAGCGGCAGCCCGCUGGGCCACGACAAGCAAGGGGUGAGCUUCUCCAACUACUUGUGGUGCGGCCUGAGCCGCGGCCACGUGGCCGUGGUGAACAUGUCGAACUUGGAGUACCAACUCAUCCACAACGCGCACAACCAGACGGUCAACAAGAUCUGGUACUGGGAGGCGUGCAACAAGGUUUGGACGGCUGGGCGAGAGAAGGGCGUGCACGUCUGGGAUCCGCAGCGGCGGGCGGUGCUGAAGCGGCGCAACAUCGCCGCCAUUCUGAGCGACGCGACGUACGCUGAGUCGACGGACAAGGUGUUCGCGGUGGCCGGCGACGCCUGCGUGCGUGUGUUCGAGCCGAGCGGAGAGAACGUGAACGUCCCCAAAGGGCAGGAGAACCGCAUCCGCAUGAAGCUGGACGCCUCGGUCAUCGAGUACCACCGCAACUCCGGCUUCGUGUGGGUGGGCCUCGCCCGCGGCAGUGCCCUCAUGAACACGAGCACCCUCGAUGUGGAGCGCACGCUCCCGUACACCUUCAGCGCCAUCCUCUUUAAAGGCAACAACGCUAUCAUUGCUGGCCAGGAGUCGCCAAGCGGUGAGGGGCGGCUGAUGGUGCUGGACGUGACGAACCCCAAAGAGCCCUCCGUGUUGGCGUACAGCAAGUUUGCCGGUGCCCUCCCCCUCGGCCUUCACAUUGUCCCCCGCACCCGCUUCGCGGUGGCGGCGCAGGACGACCCGAAGAAGGGCUGCAUGAUGGCUGUUUUCGUGUACGACGGCACAGUCGCGUUGAUGCACGCAACCGCGUCUGGCGGCGCACCCCCGCAACGGACCGAGUGGGUGCCUCGGGGGGCAGCGAUGCCGACGACUGUCGGCACUCCCUCACCCCCUGCGCAGCCUACUACGCAGGCUCCAGAUCAGAGCGGUGGUAGCAACGCCAUAACAGCUACGACGACGUCACCAGCGGUAAGCAACGUCACGUACAGCGCGGCCACCGUUGCCACGGUAGACAGAGCCACGCUGCACCGAGGGGCUGUGGUGAAGACGUCGCCGGACUACCGCACCGACCGCAAGUUGGCGGUGGAGGCGGAUCGAUCCUCGCUGGUGGAGGCGAUCGCGCCGGAUGCCCAGGACAUCAAGAACGCUCUGAAGCACCUUGUCAAGACCACGGAUGAGGUGCGGCAGUCUCUUGUUCAGCAGCGCUCCGCCGAGUCAACUCUAGCUGACUUCAGCCGGGUGUUGCGCGGGCGACAGCAGUGGCUCUUGGAGCAGGGCUCGAUCACGAACCUUCCCGUGCUGCCGAGUGCUGUGGCAGACCGCAUCGAUCGCGACUACGCCACCGCCGAAGGAAAGACGAUUGCCACAUCCAUCGAGCAGCUGCAGCAGCUGUACACCGCAGCGCUGGCAAAGCAGCAAGAGCUGCUGCACAGCAGAGAGGCCGGCGGCGGCGGCAACGAGAGCGGGGCAGUGGCGCUGAGUCUUCCAGCGGCGUCGUCGCCACGAGAGCUGCGGAUGUCGUCAUCGGCCGUGGCCACAUCGCCUCUUGCGCCCGGCAGCAGCGCGAAAGGCUGGCGAGGUGACGCGCUUGGCAGCGGAGUGGUCGGCAGCGACGCGGCGGCGCUGCGAGUGGCCGCCGGAAGCGGGCACCACCACCCUGGCGAGCAUCUUGUGGAGGGGGACAGUUUGCCUUAUGUUUACUCUCCCCGGCAGAGCGGCGUUUCCGCUUCUGGCCCAGGGGCAGGGGAUGCCGCGGUUCCACCAUGGGCGCUGCAGCUCGCCUCCACAUUGCGGCGGGAGCGGACGCUGCAUGCGCAGCAGUUGAACGCGCUGCAGCUCCAGGCGGAGCGUCUAGCCGAGCGCAACACAGCCCUCUCCGCCGCCUUUGUGCGUCUCCAAGCCCACGUAGCGGCGCUGGGACAGCAAGCGCUCGCCUCGGUGAUGGACGCCGAGUCUACAGGCAGCGUGACGGUUGAGUCGGAGAAGUCACCACCGAGCUUUCCGCUACAGCGCCGCCAGCCAUUCCAGGCGCACCAGCCUUACCAGCCUUCACCGCAGCACAGGAGUGCCGCGGCUUUGUUCGCCAAGCUCAGCCACGGACAGUACCACAAACCGAAGUGUGUGCGCCGAUCUACCGACGUUCUCGUGAAGGCGAUGGACGAGGUGGUGCGCCUCGCGCAGAGUCGCCGCGGUCGCAGUGGCGACCGCGACGCACUGGGGAUCACCCUUGAAAUGGUCCACUCGAUGGCAGGCCUGGCAGGGACCGGCAGCGUUGACGACCCGGAUGGCAGUGCCGACACGGCUCCGGCGCACACGCGACCGUCGCGCAUCCAGGAUGUGUCCCUGUCGCCGUCCUCUCCAUCUAUGGUGCUGCCGCUGGAGGCGCCUCUCUCAGCAGAGGAGGUGGUGGCCACGCGAGGCGUGCAAGGCAACUCCGCCGCCGUCGAUGACACGCUGCUUGACCACCCCCUCACUUCUCUACCGGGCGUGUGCUCCAUGGCGGAGGUGGAGCUGCGCAACCUGACGGAGCGCGAUGCGGAGGUGGCUUCGCUUUGGGCGCGUCUGCAGAGCAUCCGGUCACAGCCGCGUGAUGCAGGUGCCAGCCAUCACACCACGGAGCAGCACGCAACACCUACUGGCCCCGCUGCCGACGUGACAGCUGACAACGUCAAGGUCGUGGAGGGUGGGCUGCUGCUACGUGCCCCCAUCGCAGGCAGCCCGACCGACUCGAGUGCGGCCGGAUCAACGCCUGCACUGCUCACGCAGCUCAUGACGGCGCGCGUUCUGCAAGCUGUAUGCUGGGCGGAGUGUGUGCAGACCGUUCUGCACGAGCUGACGCACGCGGAGGGAAUGGACAACAUCUUCAUUUCCGGCUGCGUACACAACGCUCUCAUGUCACCGCGCGCGACGGCUGUUGGCAGGUACGGCGACGGCGCUUCGGCCGGGGUGCGGGGGCAGGGCCCACUGGAGGUGCUUGGCUACGAGUCUACGCAGGAGCAGUCGAUGGUGCUCGCGAAGGUCGGUCACAUGAGCAAGUCGGCCACACUCGAGCUUUCUAAUACGUCGCGCGUUCGUGAAGGGUUGCGCCAACAAGAGUACCGGAGCCAGGACGAGGAAGGCACGAGCGGCGUCGCGGCCUUUGCUAACAGCGACUUCCGACUGCACCGUCUGCCGGGCGCACUGCGCUGGUCGUUGACGGCGCUGCGGCUGCUCUUCGCGUUUUUGUCAGACGCCGAGGCUCAUCUGCUCGUUAGUGGCGGCCACGGUGGCGGCAGUGACACCCCCAAGGUGGAUGCCAGGACGGCGCGUGCGGCAGGGAAGCACAAGGCAGGCGUCACCCCCAGCAGCGAUGAAGCGGCCGCCACGCGGGCUCCGUCAGCGGUUGGUGUGGCCAUGACACACUGGGCGAUGUUUCUGAUGAACCUCCAAGCCGACCUAACAGCCGUGCACCACGCAGCACGACUCUACCACGCCUGGCUCUGGGGACCGUCCGCCCUCUCCGCCACCGCCGUCGCUACGACGCCAUCGAAUAGGGCUGGCGGCGCGGUACACAACCGUUCAGGCGCGGCGCGCGGUGGCGGAAUCGGUGUGAGUGCUCCCAGCAAGGCCACGCCAUAUGCACGCGAGUCUGCCUCCAUCGCCGCCUCCACCACUUCAGACUCCCUCGCGCACAUCGCGGCGUCUCUCAGCUCCAAAGGCAAGCUGCUGUUGCUGUACAUGCAAUGGCGUUUCUCUGGCUUUGCCACCACGUCCACCGACCGCGCCGUUGCGUCGACAGGCGGGGCGAACGUGUUGUCAGGGUCGGCCAAUGCGGCCUCCUCAUCACUUUCAUCCGCCGGGCUGCCAACCCUCUUCACCUCUGAGGGCGACAACGACAUAGCCGCCUCUACAGCGGCGGUGACGCCGUGCAGCGCUGCCGAUUGCUCUCGCUUGCUGUGCGACACUGUGGCGCAGACAAAGCAGCUGCUGCACCGUGUGCGACUCCUCCUCGCGUACACCCACGCCAUCCGCGCACGUGCCUUGAUGGCGCUGGAGGAGAGCCGGGACGAGGCUGUGGCGCAGGUGAUCGCGUCCUUCGCCUCGACAGCCGCCGCCGAUCCGGACGCCCGUGUGCCGACGGAACAGGAGAGGGCCUUCCUGCAGAGUUGAAAAAGACGGGGACAAAAGCGGGGAGGAGGUGGUUGGAAGGCAAAGAAUCAUCAGCGACGAGGGUGCUGAGAAGGGCUUUCACGCCGCGGAUGUGCGUGUGUGUGCGUGCGUAUGCGCCGUAAUGACUGUGUGCGGCUCAGUUGCUUCUUUCUCUCUCUCUCCUGGAUCUAUGUCUGUGUGUGCGUGUGCGCGGUUGGAUAUUAUCGUCAUUGUCGUCGUCGUCAUCUCUCGCUCUGCGUGUGCGUGUCUUGCUUCUCCUGUACAAGGUAAUGAUUUGUGCCUUCUCUCUUCGUGUGCGUGUUUUAAGUUCCGGCACGUAGGCGUGUAUCUGUAUAAGGGUGUGUAUCGUAUGCUCGCGUGUGCGCGUGCGUGUGUGCUUCCGGCAGGAGCCUCUCCUGUUUCGUCCACCGACGCUCAAGGCCGACCUUCCCCACCUACACACACACAGCGUGAGUCCCUACUUCCCUGUAGAGGGACGCGCCGUCCCUGCCUAUCCCCCUCCAAGCGUCCACCGCCUACCACGUCAAAGGAACAGCGCAUCUCUGAACGCGGCACAAAGACACGAGACCCGGCGAAAAGCCCCCCUUCCCCUCCCCCUCCCCCCCGCUGCCAAGUGUGCGUUCUUUCGUGCGCAUACAAGCAUGCCUGAUGCUAGCGAAGCGAUGCACACACGUACGCGUGUUCCUGCGCGUCUUGCGCGUUCGCUCAAACAAGCCUGCACACCAGCCCGCUGCCUGCGCCUUGAUUUGGGCGUGCCCAUCAUCAAGCGUACUUUCUCCAGCCUCUCCUCACGCUCGUCUCUACCCCCCCCCCCCCCCCCCCGCCUGCCUUCUCUUUCCACGCUUUGCAACUCUCUCUGCUCUUUUCACGACACACUCUCGCGAUUGGCCGCGCUUCGCGCGGCCCCCCUCCCCCCUCCCUCGAUCUCCAUACGCAG
rnacentral:misc_RNA from 1 species